rnacentral:rRNA from 1 species
UACGUAGGGUGCAGGCGUUAAUCGGAAUUACUGGGCGUAAAGCGUGCGCAGGCGGUUUGCUAAGACAGGUGUGAAAUCCCCGGGCUUAACCUGGGAACUGCGCUUGUAACUGGCAAGCUAGAGUGUGGCAGAGGGGGGUGGAAUUCCACGUGUAGCAGUGAAAUGCGUAGAGAUGUGGAGGAACACCGAUGGCGAAAGGCAGCCCCCUGGGCUAACACUGACGCUCAUGCACGAAAGCGUGGGGAGCAAACAGG